UACGUAGGGUGCGAGCGUUGUCCGGAAUUAUUGGGCGUAAAGAGCUCGUAGGCGGUUUGUUGCGUCUAUCGUGAAAACCUGCAGCUUAACUGUGGGCUUGCGGUGGAUACGGGCAGACUUGAGUUCGGUAGGGGAGACUGGAAUUCCUGGUGUAGCGGUGAAAUGCGCAGAUAUCAGGAGGAACACCGGUGGCGAAGGCGGAUCUCUGGGCCUUACCUGACGCUGAGGCGCGAAAGCUAGGGGAGCGAACAGG
rnacentral:rRNA from 1 species